rnacentral:rRNA from 1 species
AUUGAACGCUGGCGGCAGGCCUAACACAUGCAAGUCGAGCGGAUGAAGGGAGCUUGCUCCUGGAUUCAGCGGCGGACGGGUGAGUAAUGCCUAGGAAUCUGCCUGGUAGUGGGGGAUAACGUCCGGAAACGGGCGCUAAUACCGCAUACGCCCUGAGGGAGAAAGUGGGGGAUCUUCGGACCUCACGCUAUCAGAUGAGCCUAGGUCGGAUUAGCUAGUUGGUGGGGUAAAGGCCUACCAAGGCGACGAUCCGUAACUGGUCUGAGAGGAUGAUCAGUCACACUGGAACUGAGACACGGUCCAGACUCCUACGGGGGGCAGCAGUGGGGAAUAUUGGACAAUGGGCGAAAGCCUGAUCCAGCCAUGCCGCGUGUGUGAAGAAGGUCUUCGGAUUGUAAAGCACUUUAAGUUGGGAGGAAGGGCAGUAAGUUAAUACCUUGCUGUUUUGACGUUACCAACAGAAUAAGCACCGGCUAACUUCGUG